CUGCGGCGUGCUUACCUGCAGUCAGGGGGAAAGGGGUGGCAAUAUCCCGAGUAUACCGGCGCACGGGUGAGUAACACGUAGGCAAUCUGCCUUUAGGACGGGGACAACUCAGCGAAAGCUGAGCUAAUACCCGAUAAUGCAGCGGCACCGCAUGGUGAUGUUGUUAACGGCCGAAAGGCGCCUAAAGAUGAGCCUGCGUCCCAUUAGGUAGUUGGCGGGGUAACGGCCCACCAAGCCCGCGAUGGGUAGCUGGUCUGAGAGGAUGAUCAGCCACGCUGGAACUGAGACACGGUCCAGACUCCUACGGGAGGCAGCAGUGAGGAAUAUUGCGCAAUGGCCGAAAGGCUGACGCAGCGACGCCGCGUGGAGGAUGAAGUCCGUUAGGAUGUAAACUCCUUUUGCAGGGGAUGAAUGUGCCCUUUCAGGGCCUUGACCGUACCCUGCGAAUAAGGAUCGGCUAACUACGUGCCAGCAGCCGCGGUAAUACGUAGGAUCCGAGCGUUGUCCGGAAUUACUGGGUGUAAAGGGCGUGUAGGUGGGCUCCUAAGUCGGGGGUGAAAUCCCGUAGCUUAACUGCGGAAUUGCUUCCGAUACUGGGGGUCUUGAGUACGGCAGAGGGAGAUAGAAUUCAUGGUGUAGCGGUGAAAUGUGUAGAUAUCAUGAAGAAUACCGGUAGCGAAGGCGGUCUCCUGGUCCGUUACUGACACUGAGGCGCGAAAGCGUGGGGAGCAAACAGGAUUAGAUACCCUGGUAGUCCACGCCUUAAACGAUGGGUACUCGGU
rnacentral:rRNA from 1 species